CCUGCCCCUAGAAGCAUUGCAGGCCUGGCUCACAGUGUCACGUGUGUAUCAAUAGGUGGCAGAGAGGAGAGAGGCUGCGCCUACACUCAGUGUUCUGACCUGUGAACCUCCGAAUAAUUAGCAACCUAACAUC